CGCGUCGCCGGGGUGUUCCCGGGGCUCCGGGUGUCGCAGGCACCGACCCUGCGCCGCCCCCGCUCGGCGCCGGGGCCCCGGCUGCUCAGGUCUCCGCGGCCGCCGCGCUCCGCCCCGCGCGGGCAGAGGUAAGGCGGCGAGGUCGGCCUCCACCCCUGACUCCCUCCCUGCGCGCGAGACCGGGGUCGCGGCGGGCUCUCCGCACCUCUCGGCCCAACCCGGCCCUGGUUCCAGGCCUCUUCCUCCCUGCCCCUUCCCCUGGGGCUCGCCCUGCACUGGCUCCGCCCGGGGCGUCCCGGCGCCGGGUGUCCCCUGCUCGAGCAGCGGGCCGGCUUUUCCCGCCGGCCGGGCCGACCCGGGGACGCGCUCCGCCGGUGCCUGGCGCACGCCUGCGUCCUCGCAGCCCGGGCGUCGGGGCGCAGCUGGCGACGGGCGUCCGACUUGCCCCUGGGGCUGGAGCGCUGCCCGCUGUUGAGUUUUACGGUGACGGGCUUGGACACCUCGCUCAGCGACGUUUGCUGGGGCUUGCAGUCUGCGGGGCGCUUUCCCGAGACGUUGACAUUGAGCUCGUGCUGGUGCCACUUGCGCUCCCGCUGACUCACAUCUCCUAGUAGGGCCUCCUCAAGAAGAAAAGGAAAAUGAGUUGCAACACAGAAAUGAAAAAACAGCUAAGUACCUUUUUAACAAAAAGACUAAACGUAUGUGUUAGAAUAUUAAAUUUAAUUUGAUUCCUUUAAAAAUCCAAAGGACUAUCACCCCAGAUGGGACUCGAACCCACAAUCCCUGGCUUAGGAGGCCAGUGCCUUAUCCAUUAGGCCACUGGGGCUUCACGCAAACGGCGCCCGGUCACAUGCCUCUUAAACUGUGACGCUGCGGGCUGCGUCAUGACGUCAAACCCAGAAGAUUCCAAACGCAAAAGCUGACCAUACUCACGGAGAAUGGUUGAGAGGAGCCCAGAGGCCUUUCUUACCUAAAAUGAGGGUUAAAACCAUCGGGUUUAAAACGUUUACGACCACGAAGGGACUCGAACCCUCAAUCUUCUGAUCCGAAGUCAGACGCCUUAUCCAUUAGGCCACGCGGUCUUCUCCUGUUAGUGCUUCUGCUAGAAAAUAUAUUUGGUGACAAUGAGACGCAGCGCUACCGGCGCACCUGUGGAUUCAUGGUGCCUGCGAUUCUCGCUGUGACAACUGCGACAGUUUCUGCAGGAGUCACUGCACUACCACCUCCUAGGGGCGGCACCUGGAUCUGUCCCCCCGCUUCCUUGGGCGUCCUGACCACGUGGCCUAAUGGAUAAGGCGUCUGACUUCGGAUCAGAAGAUUGAGGGUUCAAGUCCCUUCGUGGUCAGCUUCAUUUUGGGCGAGCGCCGCGGGUUGCUCACUGCCCUACAGACUUCUGUGAACCUGACAGCGGUCCCCUUGAGUCAGCCUUCCGUUUGCCCUGGCGGAGGUUGUGCUGCUAGUGCUGCUGUCCGGCACUCAGUCUGGGCACGUGCGCCUGGAGGCUCUGUGGCGCCUUCUUGGCCUGCCCCAGUGGCUGAAUGGAUAAGCCAGGGCUUGGGGUUCGAGGCCCUCGUGGGUGGCAUCGGGGAUCCCUCUCAGGAACGUCUAAGUGCGAGGGCUGUGCCCGCCUCCGCGCGGCGCCCGACUCCUCUCCCGCAGCCCGAGUGCGUUUAUUCAUUUCUAGCUGCCCCGGGUCGGGAGCCUCAACACUCCACGGCCUCCAUCUGGGGACUUUUCUACCCGGGAAGAAGGUGUGCGGCCAACUCGCUCGGCCACCCCUCGCCUGUGUGGAGGAACAGAGCAGAGCCCCUCUUGCCCAGUGGAGCCUACCUGGAGGCCGGGCUCCAUUUGGAGCUUGGGGAAAGCUAAAAAUGAUGGGCACUACCCCAGGUGGGACUCGAACCCACAAUCCCUGGCUUAGGAGGCCAGUGCCUUAUCCAUUAGGCCACUGGGGCCUGCGGCACGUGCGGCCUGCCUCUCCUCUGAUGUGCAGUGCGACCUUGCUUGGCCGGGCAGGUCGCAGUCGGGCCGGCCCGGAGCUGCGGGAGGCGAAGGGACCGCACCGGGCUGGGCCAUCGCCACGCUCCGGCCCAGCCGCGGGCGCUCCUCGGAACCUGGGGGCCGCCUUGAAGUCGCCUGGAAAACCUGACCGUAGAUGCGGGAAGACCGAGGGCGGUGGCGUUUCCUGACCAUUUUUGUGUACCUCUAAAGAACUGAUGCAAAAAUCAAGAAUUUUAGGAGAAGGUAGUGCGGGAAGUGAAAGAGAACAGACACGAGGCACGGACACGGAGUCCGUCGUGAGAACGCACCGAUCCAGCCACAACAGGAUCCCGUGUACUGUGCACACCUGUCACGUUACCAACAGGGUGCGUGGAUGGCAGCCGGGCAGAGUUUUCACUCUAGUAUUUUCUUUAAAACUCUAAGUCUAAUAUUCCUUAACACGCGCGCGCACACACACGCACGCACGGUGGGCCAAGGUGCACAGCCGUAAUCCCAGGGACUCGGGAGGCUGAAGCAGGAGCAUGGCAAGUUCGAAGGCAACCUGGGUAAAUUAGGGAGACCCUGUUUCACAAGGAAAUUAAGGAUUGGGAUGUAGUUUAAUGAACCCAGAGUGUCUCUGGGUUCAACCCCAGAACCAGGGGUCAGGGAAGGACAAAACAAAAACCUUCAGCCAAGGACAAAUGUGUAGUCCCAUUGUGCCUACUUCCAGACUUUGCAGGGUAAACAGGACUUGAGCAUAUUCCUCUUUGCUUCUCUCUAAAACAGAGUCUGCAGAAACAGGUCUCCUUCCUCCCCUUACUAGAGCAAGAAGGAAGAAUUUCGCCCAUGUGGCUCCAGUCCACUGCCUUGAGGACUUCUGGCUGUGACUGCUGAGGUUUAAAGGCAGGCAGUAAUCACAGGUCCUUAGGACGAGCUUCUCCUCCUGCCUGAGUUAUGAACCUGCCACUUCCAUCAAGACAGGGAACCUCCUGGCACCUGCAAGUCACCCUGUGCCUCCCCAAGUCAAUGAUCUCCUCCGUCAUGCAAAUCCUUCUCUGACUCUACCACCGAGCUACAGCCCCAGCCCCUGUGCAUGUUCUAUUUUUCUCAUCACAAAUGAUUUUACUAGUUUUCAACUUCAUAUAAAUGAAAUUAACUGUAGUCUAUAAUUUUAUGAGGUCUGGCCUCCUUCACUCAACAUUGUCUUUGAAAUUUCGUUUUUAUGAAUGGGCUCUGCUCUCUG
rnacentral:tRNA from 1 species